rnacentral:rRNA from 1 species
CCUACGGGAGGCAGCAGUGAGGAAUAUUGCACAAUGGGCGCAAGCCUGAUGCAGCAACGCCGCGUGGAGGACGAAGGCCUUCGGGUCGUAAACUCCUUUUCUGGGGAACGAGCAAGGAUGGUACCUCAGGAAUAAGUCUCGGCUAACUACGUGCCAGCAGCCGCGGUAAUACGUAGGAUCCGAGCGUUGUCCGGAAUUACUGGGUGUAAAGGGCGUGUAGGUGGGGCUUUAAGUCGGUGGUGAAAGCCUGCAGCUCAACUGCAGAAUUGCCAUCGAUACUGAGGCUCUUGAGUACGGCAGAGGGAGAUGGAAUUCAUGGUGUAGCGGUGAAAUGUGUAGAUAUCAUGAAGAACACCGGUAGCGAAGGCGGUCUCCUGGUCCGUAACUGACACUGAGGCGCGAAAGCGUGGGGAGCAAACAGGAUUAGAUACCCUGGUAGUCCACGCCUUAAACGAUGAAUACUAGGUGCUGGGCCGCAAGGUUCAGUGCCGAAGUUAGCGCAUUAAGUAUUCCACCUGGGGAGUACGAUCGCAAGGUUGAAACUCAAAGGAAUUGACGG